UAGCGUAGGGGGCAAGCGUUGUCCGGAAUCAUUGGGCGUAAAGAGCGCGUAGGCGGCCAGAUAAGUCCGGUGAUGAAAGUCAAACGGCUCAACCUUCAGAGGUCGACCGAAACCCCCUGGCUAGAGUCCGGGAGAGGAGAGUGGAAUUCCUGGUGUAGCGGUGAAAAUGCGCAGAUAUCAAGGAAGAACACCCGUGGCGAAAGCGGCUCUCUGGAACGGUACCGUGACGCUGAAGACGGCGAAAAGCGU
rnacentral:rRNA from 1 species